UUGAGUUUGGCCAGUGAGUGCUGCAGGAUACUGGAGGGAGGGCAACAGAGAGGAAGCACCUACAUGUCUAUGUUCAGAAGCUGCCUUGAUGCCACAUGCGGGAGGCUGGAAACGCUGAAGGAUGACCACUGCUCAGCAGCAGUCUACCAGUGAUGGAUGAGAGUUGGUGCACAAAUACCCCAGCUCCCUUGCCUCUCAGUUUGGAUAAUCCUGAAAAGGUGUGUACUAUGCUAUUUCUGAGAUUAAGCCCUAGUUACCCAUAGUGGUAGCUAAAUAUAGUAGUUGGCUGUAUUCUCCAUCACUUCUUGAAUCCCCUGCCAGUGUUCUCUGCACCUCCUUAAUAAACCACUUGAAACAAAAAUCAAGUCUUUCUUUCUCUCACGGUCUGCAUCUUGGGGAACACAAACUAAGACACAGUCUCAAAAAAGUUAACAUUUGUAAAACAUCUAGUUUAUUUUUUCAUCUUACCCUACAAGUAAUAAAAAAGACAAAAAAAACCAAAACAAAACACCUUUCAUGGGAGAGGGGACAUUCAACUAAGAUGCUUUGAGUUGCUUUUCCUGUUAACGUUAUGCCAAAUUUAGAAGAAAAGAAUGCCAGAAGAGGGCAGAGGAUAUGUAUUAUGUCUAUAUCUUCGAGACAUGAGGUCUUGCUAUGUUCCCCAGGCUAGAAUGCAGUGGCUAUUCAUAAGCAG
rnacentral:lncRNA from 10 species